ACGCACGCUGGCGGCAUGCCUAACACAUGCCAGUCGCACGAGACCUUCGGGUCUAGUGGCGCACGGGUGCGUAACGCGUGGGAACCUGCCCUUAGGUUCGGAAUAACUCCCCGAAAGGGGUGCUAAUACCGGAUAAUGUCUUCGGACCAAAGAUUUAUCGCCUUUGGAUGGGCCCGCGUUGGAUUAGCUAGUUGGUAGGGUAAAAGCCUACCAAGGCGACGAUCCAUAGCUGGUCUGAGAGGAUGAUCAGCCACACUGGGACUGAGACACGGCCCAGACUCCUACGGGAGGCAGCAGUGGGGAAUAUUGGACAAUGGGCGAAAGCCUGAUCCAGCAAUGCCGCGUGAGUGAUGAAGGCCUUAGGGUUGUAAAGCUCUUUUACCCGGGAUGAUAAUGACAGUACCGGGAGAAUAAGCUCCGGCUAACUCCGUG
rnacentral:rRNA from 1 species